CACGGGGGGAGCAAGCGUUGUUCGGAAUCACUGGGCGUAAAGGGCGUGUAGGCGGUCAAGUAAGUGGAAUGUGAAAGCCCCCGGCUUACCCGGGGAUCUGCAUCCCAAACUGCUUGGCUUGAGUACGGGAGAGGAUAGGGGAAUUCCUGGUGUAGCGGUGAAAUGCGUAGAUAUCCGGAGGAACACCGGUGGCGAAGGCGGCUUCCUGGACCGACACUGACGCUGAGGCGCGAAAGCUAGGGGAGCAAACGGG
rnacentral:rRNA from 1 species